UGGAUCCCAAAAUGAGAACAGAAGAACCACUUCAUGUGACUUGAACCAGAUCUGAAAUCUGAAGUGAAGCCCAGAAGAGUGUAGCUGAAGACAAGUGAACCUACUUGACCAGCAAACGCACAUAUCAAAGGGCCCCCUGGCUACUAAGGAAGAUGAAUGAAGAAAGGGCCCAUACAUGGACACCUACUUCAUAGUAAAAUCUGAGGACAUGAAGUAUAAAGAGGACAUUCUGAACACUUCAAGAGACAGCACCCUUAGCUAGGCAUGCAGACAGGAUCUCACUGUCACCCAGGCUGGAGUAC
rnacentral:lncRNA from 1 species